CAAAAUUCGGUCAUCUUCGAUGGCCCGCAGCCUCACAUUGCUAGCCUGCUUGACACUAUCAGGGCUGAGGCCCGACUGUGGGCGAAAGCAGGGGCAGUGGGUCUAGCAGCACUUCUUCCAACUUAG
rnacentral:rRNA from 1 species